rnacentral:antisense_RNA from 1 species
GGGAGCGGGGCCGACACAGGACUGCAGUUGACAGCAGAUAACUGAAAGCUCGGAAAGCGAAACCGUGGAUAAGCAGGGGAACUGUGGCAUCCCAUUUAAAAUUGCUUCUGAAGAGAAGCAUGAGGUUACAUCUGUAAUCUCCCUGCAGCAGAGUCAACUGCAUAAGAAACCAAAAGACACACCUGCUCCAUGCCAGCUUCGAUAAUUUCUUUGUACCUUCGGCGAAAGAAGCCCAUCUGAAAGGCAGAAAGAAAGAGGAGAAGCUGAGUUAGAAGUGCUGAAGAAUCAGCCAUUGUGACCCCAAGGCAGUCUGUCCCUGGCCUAAGCCACCACAUAAAAAGUCAGACCAUCUGCUGGAAGAACCACAUGGAGAGGCCCUGAGUCGACAUGGAGAGGAAGAAGGACUUAACUGAAUCCAGCCUUCCAGCUGUCCCUACCAAGGUGCCAGGCACGAGAAUGAAGCUGUCUUGGACUCUGAAGACCAGCUUAGCCACCAGGUAAAUGCCACUAAGUGACCUCACUCAAUGUCAUGUGGGACGGAAGAAUCACCCCGCCAAACCCUUCCUGGAUCCCUGACCCAGAAAUUUGUCAGAUGUAAUGGUUGUGAAAAGCCACUCAAUUUGGGGGCAGUUUGUAUGCAGCAUAGCUAGCUGGUAUGAUACAACAGCCUGCAAUUCAGGCAGCAGCAGCACUAACAACGAUGAA